CAGAGUUGCAAAACUCCCUAAACCAUCGCGAACGUUACCCAAACCGUUGCUUCGGCGGGCGGGGGCCCCAGCGGCCCCCCCUCCAGGCCCCUCCGGGGGCGCCCGCCGGAGGUACCCAACUCUUGACAAUCUAUGGCCUCUCUGAGUCUUCUGUACUGAAUAAGUCA
rnacentral:misc_RNA from 1 species